AUUGAACGCUGGCGGCAGGCCUAACACAUGCAAGUCGAACGCGUGGCGGACGGGUGAGUAGUGUCUGGGAAACUGCCAGAUGGAGGGGGAUAACUACUGGACACGGUAGCUAAUACCGCAUACACUCAGAUGUGCCCAGAGGGGUUUGGCGUGGUGGUGGGGUAACGGCUCACAAAGGCGACGAUCCCUGGCUGGGCUGAGAGGAUGACCAGCAAGACUGGAACGGAGACAGGGCCCCGCGUCCGACGGGAGGCAGCAGUGGGGAAUAUUGCACAAUGGGCGCAAGCCUGAUGCAGCCAUUCCGGGUGUAUGAAGAAGGCCUUCGGGGUGGAAAGUACUUUCAGCGGGGAGGCGUUACCCGCAGAAGAAGCACCGGCUAACUCCGUGCCAGCCGCCGCGGUAAUAC
rnacentral:rRNA from 1 species